AGCUCAUAACGCCACCCAAAAUCCAGAUUAAAGAAAAAAUUGUUUUCAUUUGUGCAAAAUCUUACAACCCAAAAUCUCAUUCCGUUUUCCAUCUGGAUUUUGAGGCAGGGGUAGUAGAAUAGAAACCAAAACCAGCACGUUGGUCAUCCACAUCACGCGUUUCUCUCUCUCUCUCUCUCUCUCUCUCUCUCUCUCUCUCUCUCUCAGAUAGAAACCAGAAAGACACUUUUUUAUUUGGGUGAAAACCCUAACUGGAAAGUCCAUCACUCUUGAGGUUGAGACCAUCGACAACGUGAAAGGCAAGAUCCAGAGGAAUCGAAAAAGUUCAAUGAUUUUCUGCGCACUCUAUGUAUAUUCUGCCAGGAGAAAGCCCUCAGCAGUUUCUGUGAAUUUCUUGCAUCCAAAGAGCUCACCUUGAUUUCAAAGACAGAAGCUAUAGACAGUGAAGUUAGGGAUGAUGAAGCUAGGAAUUUUCUGGUCAAAUCAGAGCCAAAGAUGGAAUGAGUGCUU